AAUAAGUUUAUUUUUUAGUCUUACAUACAAUGUUUUUGAUUCUUUGUCUUAUUUGAAAUUUUUUAUGAUUAAUAUUUUUAUUAUUACUAGAUGAUAAAAUGUGAUUAGUACUUUAUGCGUGACUAAUUUUUAAGUUUUUUACAAAUUUUUAAAUAAGACGAACGAUCGAAACAUUGGAUAAAAAAUCAAAAAUAACGUUAUU
rnacentral:pre_miRNA from 1 species